UUUCUGUCCCUCUUUUAAUUUCCAUUUACGUAUUAAAACUAAACACUUUCCUUUUAUAGCCUAUUUACCACGAUUUCAAAUCAAAAUCAAGCUCAAAGAGAAAUCAAUUUCCAGAUUAUUGCAAACCUCAAAACCUUCUUUCUUCUUUUGGCUGCCUUUUUACAAGUAAGCAUAACAACUUGUACUAGUAUUUCUUCUUUUGCCCCCUUUUCUUUGGUCCUCAAACUUAUUCAGGUGUUCCGAAAAUUCCAAUCAUUUUCCUUCCCUUUUGUGGUAGAUUUUCGAGCAAUUGGUCAACAAAAUGGGAAGAGGGAAGAUCGUGAUUCGAAGGAUCGAUAAUACGACAAGCAGGCAAGUGACAUUUUCGAAGCGGAGGAACGGGUUGCUAAAGAAAGCCAAGGAAUUAGGCAUACUUUGUGAUGCAGAAGUUGGGGUCAUGAUUUUCUCCAGCACAGGGAAGCUCUAUGAAUUUGCAAGCAACAGCAUGAUAUCUGUGAUUGACCGCUAUAACAAGGCUAAAGAAGAAGAAAAUCAAGUGCCAAAUCCAAACUGUGAGAUAAAGUUUUGGCAAAAGGAAGUGACAAUGUUAAAGCAGCAACUGCAGAUCUUGCAAGAAAGCCACCGCCAAAUUAUGGGGGAAGAGCUCUCUGGUCUGACAAUCAAAGAUCUACAGAAUCUUGAGAACCAACUCGAAAUGAGUUUACGAGGAGUCCGUAAUAAAAAGGACCAACUGUUGAUUAGCGAUAUACAAGAACUAAAUCAUAAGAGGGAGCUGAUUCACCAAGAAAAUCUGGAGCUAUACAAAAAGGCAAAUCUUAUUCGUCAAGAAAAUAUAGAACUGCACAAAAGGGUUUACGGGAAUGGAGAUACAAGUGCAGCCAACGGUGCCAUGCUCAUUGAAGGUGAAGAAAUGGAAGAUGAUUCAAAUGGACCUAUCCAUCUACAGCUUAGUCUGCCACAGCAGCAAAAUCAUGCAUCAUCAGGAGCUGUCAAGUUGGGCAGACUACAACUGUACUAGACGAGGUGGCUUAGUUGGAAAUACACCUAUCUUGGUCAAAUUCCCAAGGUACAUGGUCAACAGGCGCAAAAUGUGCACACUGACUAUGGAAGAAGACAGGGACCAUCUGAUUGUGAAUUGACAAAGAAACUGCAAGAAAAAAGAUGUUAUUAGCAUAAGAGAUUAUCCAUUCAAGGAAAUUUCUAGCAACAUAUGCUUAUCACAAUCAUCGGCUGAAGAUAAGAACUUGGAGAUCCCCGCCACAUUUAGAUUUGUGGAUCUUAUUUGAUUAUUCGAUUUGGUUGUAAUAAAAUUUUAAUAUCUAAAUCUACACUUAGAUCAAUGAAUAAAAAGGCUCAAGGUGCACCAAGGCAAUUUGGAGUUCCCAACGCUUUAGACGCGCCUCGCUGCGCCUCACUGAAGUGAGGUGCACUAAUAAAAAGUUAAAAAAAAAAUGUGAAAAAAUGGCGUGUGCCUCGGGAGGCGCACCAGGUGCGCCUUUUGCGCCUUAGGCGCGUGGUGCGCCUCAUCAAAAAAAAAUUGCCUCGCCCAAACAAUAAAAGGCGAUGGCUCCAAAUGCCUUGCGCCUUAGAGCCUAGGUGCACCUUUUUAUACACUGACUUUGAUUUUGUUUUAUGUUCAUGACGGCUAUCAAAUUCAUAUUUUUCUCAA